rnacentral:rRNA from 1 species
UGGGGAAUAUUGCACAAUGGGCGCAAGCCUGAUGCAGCCAUGCCGCGUGUAUGAAGAAGGCCUUCGGGUUGUAAAGUACUUUCAGCGGGGAGGAAGGUGUUGAGGCUAAUAACCUCAGCAAUUGACGUUACCCGCAGAAGAAGCACCGGCUAACUCCGUGCCAGCAGCCGCGGUAAUACGGAGGGUGCAAGCGUUAAUCGGAAUUACUGGGCGUAAAGCGCACGCAGGCGGUCUGUCAAGUCGGAUGUGAAAUCCCCGGGCGCAACCUGGGAACUGCAUUCGAAACUGGCAGGAUAGAGUCUUGUAGAGGGGGGUAGAAUUCCAGGUGUAGCGGUGAAAUGCGUAGAGAUCUGGAGGAAUACCGGUGGCGAAGGCGGCCCCCUGGACAAAGACUGACGCUCAGGUGCGAAAGCGUGGGGAGCAAACA